rnacentral:tRNA from 1 species
UCCCCGGUAGCUCAGCUGGCAGAGCAGACGGCUGUUAACCGUCGUGUCGCUGGUUCGAAUCCGGCCCGGGGAG